rnacentral:rRNA from 1 species
AUGCCGCCACCGGUGCCGGCCGUCCGGCUCGGGGCGCCGCCGCCGCCCCCGUGCCUCAGGACCCACGGGGCCAAGAUGGCGCGCCGGCACAUGUACGACUGGAUCGUGCUGCUCCUCCUCGCCGCCAUCGAGGUCGCGCUCAACCUCAUCACGCCCUUCCACCGCUUCGUCGCCGAGUUCAUGAUGGAGGACCUCCGCUACCCCAUGAAGCCCAACACCAUCCCCGUCUGGGCCGUCCCGAUAUACGCCGUCAUCCUGCCGAUGCUCAUCUUCGCCGCCAUCUAUGUCAAGAAGAAGAAUGCCUACGACCUGCAUCACGCCAUACUAGGCCUGCUGUUCUCCGUGCUCAUCACCGGCGUCCUCACCGAUGCGAUCAAGGACGGCGUCGGCCGGCCUCGCCCCAACUUCUACUAUCGAUGCUUUCCUGACGGAGUGCCGAACUAUGAGGCGGUCACUCGACAAGUCAUAUGCCACGGAGACGCAAAAGUCAUCAAAGAAGGGCACAAGAGCUUCCCCAGUGGCCACACUUCAUGGUCCUUUGCCGGGCUGGGCUUCCUGUCGUGGUACCUUGCCGGCAAGAUCAGGGUGUUUGACCGGGGCGGACACAUUGCCAAGCUCUGUGUCGUGAUCCUGCCACUGCUCUUCGCUGCGAUGGUCGGCGUGUCGCGGGUCGCAGACUACUGGCACCACUGGCAGGACGUGUUUGCCGGUGGGAUCCUCGGGCUGGUUGUUGCUUCGUUCUGCUAUCUGCAGUUCUUCCCGCAUCCGGCUAGCAAACACGGGCUGUGGCCUCAUGCAUUCCGGCAUCAGGAUCCUAACCCGGAAACUGAGAACCAAGGAACAACAGAUCCCCAUCAGUCGGUGCUGCCGUCCAUGGUACAACAUGUUGCCUCCAUGGAGAUGAGAACCAAUGGCCGAGCGUUGGAUAACAUGGAGGCUGGCAGCGGCAGAGCCUGGUAA